rnacentral:lncRNA from 1 species
CAGAAAGUGUAACUAAACUAACAAACUAAACAUUCCUUAGCCUCUAAGUAUUAUCCCUUGAAGGUGUAAUUACAUUUUUAUCCUUAAUAUCCCCCAGCAAACGAAACUGGGGUAAUCGCAGUUGGAGUUUGUCACGAAGAAGGAUGAGCCGAGGUUGUGACAGAGAUUUGGGGCAAAUAUCUGCCACCUGAUCCUGGGUACAAAUAAACUGCACAGAAAUUUGAUUGGCUAGAACCUUUUCACGAAUAUAAUGGUAAUCAAGCUCGACAUGCUUUGUUCGAGCAUGAAAAAUAGGAUUUUUCGCUAAGGAAAUGGCAGAGAGAUUGUCACACCAGAUCGUGGGAGAAUGAGGCAGAGAAUAAGAGAGGUCAACAAGCAGUUUACAUAUCCAUGUGAUUUCUGUAGCCGUAUUUGCAAGAGAUCGAUAUUCCGCUUCAGUGGAGGAACGAGCAACAGUAGGUUGCUUCUUGGCACUCCAACUAAUGAGAGAGUUGCCAAAAUAGACACAGUAGCCACCUGUAGAUCUUCUGUCCAAGGAACAGCCCGCCCAAUCGGCAUCGGAAAAGGCUUGAAUAGAUGGAACUUGAGAGGACUUGGAGAACCAUAAUCCAAGAUCAAGAGAACCUUUAAGAUAGCGGAGAAUACGUUUUACUACUUGCAGAUGGGAAAGGCGGGGACUAUGCAUAAACUGACAUACCAAAUUCACAGCAAAACUAAGAUCAGGUCGAGUCCAAGUCAAGUACUGAAGAGCUCCAACAAGAGAUCGAUAUUCAGAAGCAUUAUCGAGCAGUGGAGACAAGUGAUCCAGCUUGGUGGUACUGAGAGGGGUGCUGCAGGGCUUGGCACCUUCCAUUUUUGCUUUUGCCAAUAGAUCCAAAAUAUACUUGGUUUGAGAGAUGAAAAGACCAAAAGAUGAUCGUUUAACUUCAAUACCAAGAAAGUAAUGAAGAGCACCAAGAUCCUUGAUGGGAAACAGAUCACUGAGUUGAGUGAUGACAUGUUGACAAGCUGCAGAAGAGGGUCCGGUGACUAAGAUGUCAUCGACAUAGACGAGGAUGAAUACCGGAGUAGGAGAACUCUUUAUAAACAGAGAAUGAUCACUUUGGGAGCCUUUAAAACCAAGAGAGUGCAGAGCAUGAUGAAGCUUGUCAUACCAGGCUCGAGGAGCCUGUUUCAAACCAUAAAGGGAUCUGUGAAGAUGACAAACAUGAUGCGGGUUGGUUGGAUCUUCAAAGCCAGGGGGCUGUUGCAUAAACACUGAUUCAGUAAGGGUGCCAUGGAGAAAGGCAUUGCUGACAUCUAAUUGAUUGAGGAACCAAUCAAACUGAGCAGCAAGAGUGAGCAGAAGACGAAUAUUCACUGGUUUGGCCACGGGACUGAAUGUUUCAGUGUAGUCAAGACCCUCUUGUUGGUGAAAACCCUUAGCAACCAAACGGGCUUUGUACCUGUCAAUAGAACCAUCGGGUUUCCGUUUGAUCCGAAACACCCACUUACAUCCCACAAGAUUAUGAGAGGAAGAAGGGGGUACAAGUGACCAUGUACCAGUAGAGGCAAGGGCAUUGAACUCCUCUUGCAUUGCCUUGCGCCAAUGAGAGUGUUUAGAAGCUUGUAGGUAGGUUAAAGGAACAUAAUCAACUACAAGAUGGGAAGGAAUAGGGUGUUUGGUUGCAGCUAGGGCUUUGGGUUUGAAUAUGCCAGAUUUUGAUCGAGUUUGCAUUUGGUGGGUGUUGAUAGGUAAUAUAGGCUGAGAGCAGGGAUUGGGGGAAGCUGCAGAUGGUUGGAGCAGAUUUGAAGAUUCUGCAAAGGUGGGAACCUGGGUUGGAGAAGGGACAGAGGGUGUAGGUGGGGUAGAGAUAGAAUGAAAUGUGAGUGAUGAGGGAAUAGAGGAUGGGGAUAAGGGAGAGAAGGAGACAGGUUGGGAUGAAGAAGAAUGUAAGGUAUGAAAGGGAAAAGUGGACUCAUCAAAGAUAACAUGCCUUGAAAUAUACAACCGGUUAGUAGAUGGAUGUAGACAUAGAUAGCCCUUGUGAUUUAAGCUAUAACCCAGGAAGACACAGGGUGUGCUUCUAGGAUCAAGUUUGGAGGAUGUGUAUGGUUUCAACCAAGGGAAACAGCGACAACCAAAAACCUUGAGAGAUUUAUAGUCAGGUUCUUUCUGGUAAAGAGACUGCCAAGGAGAGGAUCGAGAUAUUGUGGGUAGCCGAUUGAUGAGAUAAACAGAGGUAGCAAAAGCCUCAACCCAAUAAGCAUGAGGCACUUUUGAUGCUGCCAAGAGAGUUCGAGAGGUCUCAACAAUAUGCCGAUGCUUACGUUCGGCACACCCAUUUUGCUCGGGGGUAUGAGGACAAGUGAGCUGAUGAUGAAUGCCAUGGCGAGCUAAGAACUGAGAGAAUGCAGUGCUAACAAAUUCACCACCAGAAUCUGAACGUAAUGUAAUAACGUUUCUACACAGAGAAUUCUCAACAAGUGAUUUCCAUUGCAUAAAGGUGGAGAGGACAUCAGAUUUACACUUUAAAGGAUAGAACCAACAAUAUAUGGUAUAGUCAUUUAUGAAAAUGACAUAAUACCGAAAACCAUGAUGAGACAGUAUGGGUGAGGGUCCCCAAACAUCCGUAUGGAUAAACUCUAAAGGCUUUCGGGUCGUACAAGUAGUACUAGAAAAAUGAAGUUUAGAACAUUUUCCUAGUACACAAUCGGAGCAAAAAUCUUUAUUUGAAGCAUCAAGAACAGAAAUACAGGAUUGAUAAACCAACUUAUUUAUGAUCUUUACAGAAGGAUGGCCCAGUCUUUGAUGCCAAAGAUGCUUUGGAGCUUUGACAGAGGCAGCUAAAGCUUGAUGAGAAUUCGCAGGAGAGAAGGAUGAGUGAAAAUGAUAGAAGCCAUGUUGAACUGGUCCUUUAAAAAGCAUUCUCCCCGAAGAAAGAUCUUUCACAGUGAAGUGAAAAGGAUAAAGAUGCAUAGAACGAGAAUUGUCAAGAAGAAAUUGAUUAGCAGAGAGAAGAUUGUGCUUUAAAGCAGGAACAUGUAAGACAUGCUUUAAAAGCAAAAGAAUUAGUAGAAGUAUGCAAAGAGGAUGAGCCAGAAUGGAGAAUAGGCAAACCUUUGCCAUCUCCAAUAUACACUUGCUCAGGACCAGUGUAGGCUUCUGGAUUCUGAAGGUUGGCAUACGAUUUUGUCAUAUGAGAACUAGCACCAGAGUCAACAAUCCAGGUAGGAGGAGAAGGAGAGGUACCAGCAACCAUUGCAGAAUGAGAAGAUUUGCCAUUGUAGUUUUGAUCCAUGCGAUGAGGACAAUCACAAGCCUCAUGGUCUGGUUGUCGACAAAUCUGACAGAAAAGUUUUCGAGUGGAAGAGUAGUUAUUGCGAGCUCCACGAUUGAAUCGCUGAUUAGGACGAGAGUAGGUAUUUCUGCCAUUGUUGAAUCUGGAAUUUCCACGAUUCUGAAAAUUGCCCCGAUUUGGGCCCGAAUAAUUGCGAUCCACAUUGCGACCUUGAUUGGAGAACUGAGAAGGAUGCUGAGCAGUAAAUGCUUGAGAGAUAGAGGGAGCAGGCAAGGGAAGAAUACCAGCCGAGGAAUUAUAUGCCUGAAAUGGUGCAGUUGAGACAGAUUUCUUCCGAUUGUUGAGUUGAAUCUCCUUACUGAGAAGUAAUCCGUGUAAUUCAUCAAUAGUCGUGGAACCAAGACAAAACUGAAUAGCAUCCACAAAGGAGUCAAAUUCAGGAGGUAAGCCAUGAAGUGUGACUGAGAUGAGAUCAGAAUCUUCAACAGGAGCACCAGCACUUGCUAGGGCAUCGGCAAUUUCUUCAAUUUGCUGGAGAUAUUGAGCAGCAGUCAAAUCACCUUUAAUAAGACUGCGAAGACGAGAACGAAGCUCAUGGAUGUGAGACUGAGAUGCAGUGACGAGACGCGAUUCCAAUUUCGCCCAAAGUUCGCGAGCAGAAGUGACGCCAACUGUGUAAGGAAUCAAAGAUUCAGACAGAGUGGAAUUGAUCCAGAUAAGAAUGUUCUGAUCAUUCUCAAACCAAGUAACGUAAGCAGGAUUGAGAGUCACGGUGCGAUUGCCAGAAGAAUCAAGGAGAUAUUUGGGCGGUGCCGCCAUGGAUCCAUCAAUAAGACCGGUAAGAUUGUAGCGACGAAGAAUUGGAGCAAAUAAGGCACUCCAGGUCAGGUAAUUUGUGGUGUAAGCUUGAUCGGAACCAUAGAUCCAAUAUUUUGGAUUGUAAUGGAGGAAGAAAUCGCAGAAUUAGGGUUAGGAUGUGGAUCGGUGAACUCGAAGGAAGAAGAUGUAGCAGUCACCAUAGCUGGAUUGAGAGAGAAAUCACGAUCGAGAAGAACAAAGCACGAUCAAGAUCAAGAACACGAUCAAUGGAUCGAAGAAGAUGAAGCGGUGCAGAGAGAAGCAGGAAAAGAGGAUCGAAGAGAAGACGUCGUGAGACUGAGGGCUCUGAUACCAUAUUAAGAGAAAUAUUCUCAUUAAUUAAAAUUAUAACUGUUACACUAUGAGUAUUUAUACACAACUAUAACAACCAUCACAAUUGUCAUUACAACUAACAGAAAGUGUAACUAAACUAACAAACUAAACAUUCCUUAGCCUCUAAGUAUUAUCCCUUGAAGGUGUAAUUACAUUUUUAUCCUUAAUACACAAGGCUCACAAACAGCUCAAGAUUAGAAUACAAACAAUCAGAAGAGCUCAAAUUCUUCAUUUUUCAUUUCUAAUAUCUAUUUUUUUACCUACUUCAACUUGUAGUUCCUCCCAACUUGAUGGUCUCAACAUCUUGGGCAUACAGCAGGCAGAUCCCACACUUUGUCACCAUUCUCUGAACGGCUAUUUCAUGAGAAAAAUAAUGUUUCACAGCGUUGAACUCAAAACAGGCCUCAGUAACAAGUUUGUAAAAAGAAGUGGAGAGAUUUAAAUUUGCUUCCUCUCCAAGUGCAAACGCACUAUACCACACAAAUAUGUGACUAAAAUGAAAAUCAGAAAGCCUUCCCUCUCUUUUAUUAAAAGGAAUAACGGAAGGAUAAAUGAUUUCAUGACUUUCGCCACUAUUAGUUUUGAAAUUGCACUUGCAUUCAAUCUUCACAUAGUCAGUGACAACAAUUGAGAAAGCAAAACCCAAAAAAUCUGUACCAUACCAAUCUGGAGGAAGCUUGAUAGUUAUCGAAGAUCCCUUAUUUUGAUGGCAGAACCAUUUGGAAUUUGAUUUCCCACACAUAUAGUGCUAACUAAAGUCUCAUCAGAGAUUUCUGUAACAUCGAUGCAUGGACAUGAAACAAAUUAUUCAACACGUGAAAAAAUGGCACAAGGGAGAUAUGAAAGUGUGCGUGUGUGCACGUGCGUGCGUGUGAGAAAGAUACCGUGUCAAUUUCUUUUUAAAGAUCAAUUCAUCCAUGUCAACUGCCAUAAUUCUUACAUUUUCAUCCAAGUUUUGGUGAUCAGCAGGAAAACGCCCUCGAAACAAUUCAUAUUUAUCCCAAGCUUGCGUGAGUAAAUUUCUUGAACUGGAAACUGUCACUGGCGCAGUUGCCACUCGCAUAAUUCUCAACUGUGCGUUCACCAUUAUAUUGGUCCUUGCAUUUUCAUUGAAGUUUUUGCACCCAGCAAAAUGAAAACGCCCUUGAAACAAUUCAUA